GACGAACGCUGGCGGCGUGCUUAACACAUGCAAGUCGAACGGAAAGGCCCUGCUUUUGUGGGGUGCUCGAGUGGCGAACGGGUGAGUAACACGUGAGUAACCUGCCCUUGACUUUGGGAUAACUUCAGGAAACUGGGGCUAAUACCGGAUAGGAGCUCCUGCUGCAUGGUGGGGGUUGGAAAGUUUCGGCGGUUGGGGAUGGACUCGCGGCUUAUCAGCUUGUUGGUGGGGUAGUGGCUUACCAAGGCUUUGACGGGUAGCCGGCCUGAGAGGGUGACCGGCAACAUGGGAAGAGGACACGGGCAGGGAGUCGUGGGGGAGAAAGGGGGGGGGAUGUUGGCAUGAGGGAGGGAAGCAGGGUGCAGCACGCCGGGGGGGGGGGUGGCGGCCUGCGGUUUUGAGCCGGUUUUGGCCUGUAAGUGAGGGGGUGUGCCGGUAAGGGAUAAAGAAGCACCGGCUAACUCCGUG
rnacentral:rRNA from 1 species